GUGAGUCAUCGAGUCUUUGAACGCACCUUGCGCUCCAUGGUAUUCCGUGGAGCAUGCCUGUUUGAGUGUCAUGAAUACUUCAACCCUCCUCUUUCUUAAUGAUUGAAGAGGUGUUUGGUUUCUGAGCGCUGCUGGCCUUUACGGUCUAGCUCGUUCGUAAUGCAUUAGCAUCCGCAAUCGAACUUCGGAUUGACUUGGCGUAAUAGACUAUUCGCUGAGGAAUUCUAGUCUUCGGACUAGAGCCGGGUUGGGUUAAAGGAAGCUUCUAAUCAGAAUGUCUACAUUUUAAGAUUAGAUCUCAAAUCAGGUAGGACUACCCGCUGAACUUAA
rnacentral:rRNA from 1 species